rnacentral:rRNA from 1 species
UCGGAAUGAAUGUACUUAUUAGAUAAAAGCCAAUCUCGUCUUUUGGUGAAUCAUAAUAGUUUAUCGAACCAUGCGAUUUCGCACUGGUAUGUCAUUCAAAUUUCUGCCCUAUCAGCUGUGUUGUUAGUGUAUUGGACUAACAAGGCAUAUACGGGUGACGGAGGAUUAGGGUCCGAUUCCGGAGAGGGAGCCUGAGAAACGGCUACCACUUCCAAGGAAGGCAGCAGGCGCGUAAAUUACCCAAUCACGACACGUGGAGGUAGUGACAAGAAAUAACAAUACCGCGUUUACUACAAAUGUGGUAAUUGGAAUGAGUACAACAUAAAAUACUUAACGAGUAACAAUUGGAGGGCAAGUCUGGUGCCAGCAGCCGCGGUAAUACCAGCUCCAAAAGCAUAUAUUAACAUUGUUGCGGUUAAAAGGCUCGUAGUCUAACCUAAUGCUUUCUCGAGUGCAGCCCAGAAUCCAGUAUUCUGGUUGCAAGCAUUUGAAAGGCAUCUUUUUGGAUUGCACUUCUGCCCUUGAUUGGGUUGGUUGUGGGAUACAAAUCUUUUACUGUGAGUAAAUCAGAGUGUU